UGGAUCCAGACUUUGAUUAUGGCUCAGGAUGAACGCUGGCGGCGUGCCUAACACAUGCAAGUCGAACGGGCGAGACAUGAAACCUAGUGAUUGUCAAGCUAGUGGCGGACGGGUGAGUAUCGCGUGGACAACCUGCCCCAUACCGGGGGAUAACAGCCGGAAACGGCUGCUAAUACCGCAUAAGCGCACAAGGACCGCAUGGUCCGGUGUGAAAAACUCCGGUGGUAUGGGAUGGGCCCGCGUCUGAUUAGCUAGUUGGCGGGGCAGAGGCCCACCAAGGCGACGAUCAGUAGCCGACCUGAGAGGGUGACCGGCCACAUUGGGACUGAGACACGGCCCAAACUCCUACGGGAGGCAGCAGUGGGGAGUAUUGCACAAUGGGGGAAACCCUGAUGCAGCGACGCCGCGUGAGUGAAGAAGUAUUUCGGUAUGUAAAGCUCUAUCAGCAGGGAAGAAGAAUGACGGUACCUGACUAAGAAGCACCGGCUAAAUACGUGCCAGCAGCCGCGGUAAUACGCAUGGUGCAAGCGUUAUCCGGAUUUACUGGGUGUAAAGGGAGCGCAGGCGGUACGGCAAGUCUGAUGUGAAAGCCCGGGGCUCAACCCCGGUACUGCAUUGGAAACUGUCGGACUAGAGUGUCGGAGGGGUAAGUGGAAUUCCUAGUGUAGCGGUGAAAUGCGUAGAUAUUAGGAGGAACACCAGUGGCGAAGGCGGCUUACUGGACGAUAACUGACGCUGAGGCUCGAAAGCGUGGGGAGCGAACAGGAUUAGAUACCCUGGUAGUCCACGCCGUAAACGAUGAAUACUAGGUGUCGGUGGGCACAGCCCAUCGGUGCCGUCGCAAACGCAGUAAGUAUUCCACCUGGGGAGUACGUUCGCAAGAAUGCAACUCAAAUGAAUUGACGGA
rnacentral:rRNA from 1 species